rnacentral:rRNA from 1 species
UGCGCAUGGGGGAAACCCUGNCGCAGCAACGCCGCGUGAGUGAUGAAGGCCUUCGGGUCGUAAAGCUCUGUCAGAUGGGAAGAAUGUUCCAGCGGUGAAUAAUCGCUGGGAUCGACGGUACCGUCAGAGGAAGCACCGGCUAACUCCGUGCCAGCAGCCGCGGUAAUACNGGAGGGUGCAAGCGUUGUUCGGAAUUAUUGGGCGUAAAGAGCGUGUAGGCGGCCUUGUAAGUCAGAUGUGAAAUACCUUGGCUUAACCAAGGAAGUGCAUUUGAAACUGCUUGGCUUGAGUACGGGAGGGGGAAGCGGAAUUCCCGGUGUAGAGGUGAAAUUCGUAGAUAUCGGGAGGAACACCGGUGGCGAAGGCGGCUUCCUGGACCGAUACUGACGCUGAGACGCGAAAGCGUGGGGAGCAAACAGGAUUAGAUACCCUGGUAGUCCACGCCCUAAACGUUGGGCACUAGGUGUUGCGGGUAUUGACCCCUGCAGUGCCGAAGCUAACGCAUUAAGUGCCCCGCCUGGGGAGUACGGCCGCAAGGUUAAAACUCAAAAAAAUUGACGGA